rnacentral:rRNA from 1 species
GCAUGAUCCAUUGCCCUUUAAUUGUGGGCCUGCAUGAAUGGAUCGACGAAGCUACAGCUUUAUUUUUUUUAAAAUGAAAACUAAUAUUUAGGUGAAAAAGCUUAAAUAUAAAAGAAAGACAAGAAGACCCUAUAGAGCUUUACUUUGGCUAUAGUUUUUUUUACUAUAGUAAGGUUUAGUUGGGGCAACUGAAUUUCAUUCUAGCACUACGAAUACACAAGUGUACUUAAGACUUUAAGUCUUUUUUUUGACCCAAGAAAGAUCAUUGAAAAUAGCUACCUUAGGGGUAACAGGCUGGUUUCUUUUGAGAGUUCAAAUUAACAAAGAAGAUCGGCACCUCGAUGUUGGCUUAGGGUUUCCCGUAGGAGCAGGAGCCUACAAGGUAGGUUUGUUCAACCUUAAAAACCCU